UACGUAGGGUGCGAGCGUUGUCCGGAAUUAUUGGGCGUAAAGGGCUCGUAGGCGGUUUGUCGCGUCGGGUGUGAAAACACUGGGCUUAACUCAGUGCUGGCUUUCGAUACGGGCAGACUAGAGGUAUGCAGGGGAGAACGGAAUUCCUGGUGUAGCGGUGAAAUGCGCAGAUAUCAGGAGGAACACCGGUGGCGAAGGCGGUUCUCUGGGCAUUACCUGACGCUGAGGAGCGAAAGUGUGGGGAGCGAACAGG
rnacentral:rRNA from 1 species